GAUGAACGCUAGCGGCAGGCCUAAUACAUGCAAGUCGAGGGGUAGAAGAGGCUUGCUUCUUUGAGACCGGCGCACGGGUGCGUAACGCGUAUGCAACCUACCUUCAUCUGGGGGAUAGCCCGGAGAAAUCCGGAUUAAUACCGCAUAAAAUCACAGGAUGGCAUUAUCCAAUGAUCUAACAUUUAUGGGAUGGAGAAGGGCAUGCGUGUCAUUAGCUAGUUGGCGGGGUAACGGCCCACCAAGGCGACGAUGACUAGGGGAUCUGAGAGGAUGGCCCCCCACACUGGUACUGAGACACGGACCAGACUCCUACGGGAGGCAGCAGUAAGGAAUAUUGGUCAAUGGAGGCAACUCUGAACCAGCCAUGCCGCGUGCAGGAAGACUGCCCUAUGGGUUGUAAACUGCUUUUAUUCGGGAAUAAACCUUAUUACGUGUAAUAAGCUGAAUGUACCGAAGGAAUAAGGAUCGGCUAACUCCGUGCCAGCAGCCGCGGUAA
rnacentral:rRNA from 1 species